CCAUUAAGACUUCCCCAGGUCGAACCUGUAUCUCUCUCUCAACUUUCUCACUCUCAACUCUCUCUCCCUCUCUGCUGAAUUCAACUCAACCAUGACAAAUUGCUGUGUGAUCUUCUGCGAAAUCUUGAUCGCAAUCUUGCUCCCUCCUGUCGGCGUCUGCAUCAGGCAUGGCUGCUGCAGCGUUGAGUUCUUCAUAUGCUUGGUAUUGACGAUCUUAGGUUACAUUCCUGGAAUAGUUUACGCUCUCUAUGCGAUCCUCUGCGUCGAUCGCGAUAUGACUCGCGGCGACUACCGUCCACUCGCCUAGUCUCUCUCUCUCUCUCUCUCUCUCUCUCUCUCUCUCUCAAAAUCUGUGUGUGUUUAGCUGUAAUCUUAUGGUAUUAUACUAUGGCCCUAUGUGUGAAAUCAAUUUGCUUGUGUCUGAACUCUUGCUAUUUGAGUUGAUUGAAUCUCUCUGAUUUAAUUCGAUUCUUCUCUUAUUAUUUCAAAUGCGUAUGUAUAUACAUUUUGGAGUGAUUUGGUAUGAAUUAUAUGCGAUUAAAUGAAAGUUUGUGAUGAUAUGUUAGAUUAA